CAGUCGCCACGGUAAUACGAAGGGUGCAAGCGUUAAUCGGAAUUACUGGGCGUAAAGCGUGCGUAGGCGGUUUGUUAAGUCUGUUGUGAAAUCCCCGGGCUCAACCUGGGAAUGGCAAUGGAUACUGGCAAGCUAGAGUGUGUCAGAGGAUGGUGGAAUUCCCGGUGUAGCGGUGAAAUGCGUAGAGAUCGGGAGGAACAUCAGUGGCGAAGGCGGCCAUCUGGGACAACACUGACGCUGAGGCACGAAAGCGUGGGGAGCAAACAGGAUUAGAUACCCCUGUAGUCCCUGUCUCUUAUAU
rnacentral:rRNA from 1 species